CUCUCCCCAGCUUCAAGGACCGCGCCAUGCAGGCCGCCGGGCUCCGCGUCAUCAACGCCUUCCAGCGCCACUCCCCAACUUCAACGACCGCGCCACGCAGGCCGCCAUGCUCCGCGUCGUCAACGCCUUCCUUGCUCGGGUCGUCACGCUCCGCGGGCCGCUCCCCUCCCCGCACUCGUCAGUUAACGCCGAGAUCUGCCCCCCCGCCUCUCACGCCCGCGAGGCCCAUUUCAUUUAGUUCGCCAGCUCGAUCCGGGUUUUGUCCAGUGAUCGGGUUUGUCUAAUGCCGUCAUGCCUGGAUCUGGGUCGAUUCGGAGGAACGAAUUCGAGCCGUCGUGCCUUCAAAUCCCUCACUGAUUGGUUGGAUUUCUUUUGCUAAAUUGCGGUUUAAAUCCCUGAUGACCUACUACUGAUGCUCAUCCUUGACAGCCGAGGUCGGCGAGCGCGGGAUGUCCACACGGCGCGCCGCACGCAAUGGUGUUCCAUGGCCGCUUGCCGUAGCAAAUGGACAACUGAGUGGGACAUGCUUGAAGCAAGAUAUUUGAGGACUUCUAUUCAUGGCAGCAUCAACCAGGUGACAGCGAGGGUAGUGCUGCACGGCAGCAGAGCAGCGGUGGUGAGGGGAAUGCCUCAAUGCAUUGGUAAAUAGUGAGGCCUAAGAUGUUCAUAUUUUUUUGCCUCAAUGCAUGGAUAAAUUAUCGCCCGUAGCAUUGAUUUGGCAGAUGGAAAUCGUGUAUAUGUGCGUGGGAUUUUUUGAUAGAAUCUACCUAAUGAGGAAUUUUCAGGAAUAGAGAAUGUUGUGGUAAGACCCAUGACCUCUGAUUCGGAUAACGGAGAAGGACCCCUUUAGGCUGUUUAUUCUUUCCUAUAUUUGUUUGUGUUGACUAUAUAUGCAUAGGACUACAAUCCCAUAUGUAUCUGCUACUAAUUACACUUCUGUAUAGAUUUGAAUUUGGUUCAUUCAAUUCAAUCAAUUGACUAACCAAGAAGUUGCAAACAUGCUUAAAUUACUUCAGUCACUUCUGGUUUAAUAUAUUGGAGCCCUACGAUCAUGUAAAUUGGUUAACAAUUACCAUAUGGCUUUUAUGUUACUAC